GAUGAACGCUCGCGAUAGGCUUAACACAUGCAAGUCGAGGGGCAGCAUGGUCUUAGCUUGCUAAGACUGAUGGCGACCGGCGCACGGGUGCGUAACGCGUAUGCAACUUGCCUCACAGAGGGGGAUAACCCGUCGAAAGACGGACUAAUACCGCGUACACUCCAUCUUGGGCAUCCAAGGUAGAGGAAAUGAAAUUCGCUGUGAGAUAGGCAUGCGUCCCAUUAGCUAGUUGGUGAGGUAACGGCUCACCAAGGCGACGAUGGGUAGGGGAACUGAGAGGGGGAACCCCCACACUGGUACUGAGACACGGACCAGACUCCUACGGGAGGCAGCAGUGAGGAAUAUUGGUCAAUGGGCGAGAGCCUGAACCAGCCAAGUCGCGUGAAGGAUGACUGUCUUAUGGAUUGUAAACUUCUUUUAUACGGGAAUAACAAGAGUCACGUGUGACUCCCUGCAUGUACCGUAUGAAUAAGCAUCGGCUAACUCCGUG
rnacentral:rRNA from 1 species